rnacentral:sRNA from 1 species
GUAACGGCCCGUAGGGUGAGGAGUGAAGCGACGAAUAAUCCUUCCUCCACCACCA